GACGAACGCUGGCGGCGUGCUUAACACAUGCAAGUCGAACGGAAAGGCCCUGCUUUUGUGGGGUGCUCGAGUGGCGAACGGGUGAGUAACACGUGAGUAACCUGCCCUUGACUUUGGGAUAACUUCAGGAAACUGGGGCUAAUACCGGAUAGGAGCUCCUGCUGCAUGGUGGGGGUUGGAAAGUUUCGGCGGUUGGGGAUGGACUCGCGGCUUAUCAGCUUGUUGGUGGGGUAGUGGCUUACCAAGGCUUUGACGGGUAGCCGGCCUGAGAGGGUGACCAGCCACAUUGGGACUGAGAUACGGCCCAGACUCCUACGGGAGGCAGCAGUGGGGAAUAUUGCACAAUGGGCGGAAGCCUGAUGCAGCAACGCCGCGUGCGGGAUGACGGCCUUCGGGUUGUAAACCGCUUUCGCCUGUGACGAGGCGUGCGUGACGGUAAUGGGUAAAGAAGCACCGGCUAACUACGUGCCAGCAGCCGCGGUGAUACGUAGGGUGCGAGCGUUGUCCGGAUUUAUUGGGCGUAAAGGGCUCGUAGGUGGUUGAUCGCGUCGGAAGUGUAAUCUUGGGGCUUAACCCUGAGCGUGCUUUCGAUACGGGUUGACUUGAGGAAGGUAGGGGAGAAUGGAAUUCCUGGUGGAGCGGUGGAAUGCGCAGAUAUCAGGAGGAACACCAGUGGCGAAGGCGGUUCUCUGGGCCUUUCCUGACGCUGAGGAGCGAAAGCGUGGGGAGCGAACGGGCUUAGAUACCCUGGUAGUCCACGCUGUAAACGGUGGGUACUAGGUGUGGGGUCCAUUCCACGGGUUCCGUGCCGUAGCUAACGCUUUAAGUACCCUGCCUGGGGAGUACGGCCGCAAGGCUAAAACUCAAAGGAAUUGACGGGGCCCCGCACAAGCGGCGGAGCAUGCGGAUUAAUUCGAUGCAACGCGUAGAACCUUACCUGGGUUUGACAUGGAUCGGGAGUGCUCAGAGAUGGGUGUGCCUCUUUUUGGGGUCGGUUCACAGGUGGUGCAUGGCUGUCGUCAGCUCGUGUCGUGAGAUGUUGGGUUAAGUCCCGCAACGAGCGCCACCCUUGUUCACUGUUGCCAGCACGUUAUGGUGGGGACUCAGUGGAGACCGCCGGGGUCAACUCGGAGGAAGGUGGGGAUGACGUCAAGUCAUCAUGCCCCUUAUGUCCAGGGCUUCACGCAUGCUACAAUGGCUGGUACAGAGAGUGGCGAGCCUGUGAGGGUGAGCGAAUCUCGGAAAGCCGGUCUCAGUUCGGAUUGGGGUCUGCAACUCGACCUCAUGAAGUCGGAGUCGCUAGUAAUCGCAGAUCGGCAACGCUGCGGUGAAUACGUUCCCGGGGCUUGUACACACCGCCCGUCAAGUCAUGAAAGUUGGUAACACCCGAAGCCGGUGGCCUAACCGUUGUGGGGGAGCCGUCGAAGGUGGGACUGGUGAUUAGG
rnacentral:rRNA from 1 species